AGUGAACGCUGGCGGUAGGCCUAACACAUGCAAGUCGAACGGCAGCACAGUAAGAGCUCGCUCUUACGGGUGGCGAGUGGCGGACGGGUAAGGAAUACAUCAGAAUCUACUUUUACGUGGGGGAUAACGUAGGGAAACUGAUGCUAAUACCGCAUACGAUCUACGGCUGAAAGCAGGGGUGCUACGGACUUUGGCCGACUGAAUUAGACGAUGCCGGAUUAGCUAGUUGGGGGGGUAAAGGCACACCAAGGCAACGAUCCGUAGCUGAGCUGAGAGGAUGAUCAGCCACACUGGAACUGAGACACGGUCCAGACUCCUACGGGAGGCAGCAGUAGGGAAUCUUGCGCAAUGGGCGCAAGCCUGAUCCAGCCAUACCGCGUGAGUGAUGAAGGCCUUCGGAUUGUAAAGCUCUUUUGUUGGGAAAGAAAAUCUGCAGAUGUAUCCGCCGCUGUCCUGACGGUACCCAAAGAGUAAGCACCGGCUAACUUCGUG
rnacentral:rRNA from 1 species